GCUGGAAUAGCUUGGUUGGUUAGAGCAUGAGACUCUUAAUCUCGUGGGUUGCAUGUGGGUCGUGGGUUGCAUGUUGGGCAAAAGAUUCCUACAUUGCA